rnacentral:misc_RNA from 1 species
UGGCACUAAACCCUAUAACCAAAAAAACCAUACCGUUUUAAUUUGGUUUUUUGUUUUAUUUUUCAGUCUGAACGGUUUGAUUAUUUAUUUUGGGAAAUUUUGGUUAUUUGGUUUGGUUCAAUUAUUAAGGUCAAAAAACUAAAAUAGCUGAACUGAACUUAUUUAUUAUCUUAUGUUGUCUUGCCUGCUUAUGUGUUAAAAUACUCUGCUAGUUUCUGUCUCUCGUUCAAACAGAUCUCCAGCCCACUACCAACAAUACAACAUGGUGAUGCCCAUGCCCCUUACCUAUUCCCUUUCUCCUUUAUCCCUUUCUCCUUUAUCCCUUUCUCCUUUA